CCUGUUGAGUAACCUGAGCAGCAACAGUUUCAGGUUUUGCCACUGUGCAAAUACGCAGCAAUAGCUGCUUAAAAGAAUGGAAAAUUGCAUUGAAUGAAAGAAGAAGAUGAGAACAAAUCAGCUUGAGAAGGAAGUGUGGACUUUAAAUCAAACUCCACGCUGAUGCAAGAGGGACCCGAUGACUCGAGGUGGGGAGCCUUCGCAGCAUGACCCGGUGACAUUUGCGCUUUAAGGUUCUGUCAAACCAGAGAGAAGCAAAGAUCAGAGGAGUUUCUAUGGUAUAAAUCCACAGUGGUCUACAGUAUCUGAUCAAUGACAGCUCUAGGACAUGGCAGCAGCUUCUCAUGAGACAGGUUGAUAUACUCAGGGAUAAGGGAAUAAAGGACAGUGCUGCUUAUUAAGACCCAGCAGAGCCUGAUGUCAGAGCAAAGGGGCCACAAGAAGAAAGAAGACAGCAGGGGAAGAGCGAGCGUAAACCCAAAACCAGGGUGAAAGGAAAAGAGAACAGGACAAGAGACAAGAAGGGGUUCAUGAAGAGGAAUAAGGGAAAAUGGAAAAGGGCAGGAAUUACAGUGCAUGACAAGACAGGGUCUGCUAGUGAAACAGGAUUGAGAAUUUAGUUGACCCUACUUAGAAAUGUCAAGGAUGAGAGCAGGAAAACUGUUACUGGAGUGAACUACAACUGCCGGAGUGGAGCUGGAGAGUCUAAGCAGAGAUUUAUGGACCUUACUAGUGUACCAUUUCAACUAAAUCACUGAAAUUAACAAGUCUUUACCACAUAAUGUCAAUACACAGCACAGAACAAAAUCCUCGACAAACAACCUCAUCAAUCUGACUUUUAAAUAAAUUGCGUUUCCGCUUGCCAUACUUUGGGUUUGUUAUUGAAGAAAGGCUGUCAUCUUUCAUCCUGAAAGAGCUCACUUCUGAUUGACUACGUCGGAACAUCUUUAAUCCUCACAUCCCAACCUCUGGUCCAGUUCAUGCCAAUCAAGUUCAGAACUGAGCCUCAUUAUCUUCCUGCAGCUACACACAUCCUCAGAUGUAAACCCUGUGAAAGGACCAGAGGUCGGCCCCCCUCUGGGUCUUUGUGUGGGCUGAUUGACAGGGGCUAGUAUUUGUGACCAUGGAGAGGAAGAGGCCACACCAUCUGUCAGCCGCCCUCGCAGCUGGAAGACAUGGCAGUGUGCGC